GACGAACGCUGGCGGCGUGCUUAACACAUGCAAGUCGAACGGAAAGGCCCUGCUUUUGUGGGGUGCUCGAGUGGCGAACGGGUGAGUAACACGUGAGUAUCCCGCCCUUGACUUUGGGAUAACUUCAGGAAACUGGGGCUAAUACCGGAUAGGAGCUCCUGCUGCAUGGUGGGGGUUGGAAAGUUUCGGCGGUUGUGGAUAGACUCGCGGCUUAUCAGCUUGUUGGUGGGGUAGUGGCUUACCAAGGCUUCGACGGAUAGCCGGCCUGAGAGGGCGGACGGGCUCAAGAGGACUACGAGAGGGCGCAGUCGGGAACGGGAGGCAACGGUCGAGAGUAUGACACAGUGAGCGGGAGCCUGUUGCAACGACGCCGCGUGCGUAAUGACGGCUUUCGGGUUAUAAACCGCUUUCGCCUGUGACGAAGCGUGAGUGACGGUAAUGAGUAAAGAAGCACCGGCUAACUACGUG
rnacentral:rRNA from 1 species